GGGACCACCAGAAAACUCCUUGAGAUCGAAUGAGUUGAUAGACCUGUCUCUCCAGUUCGCCUGAGUCAGCAUGUUUCCUCUGCCCCCCCAGCUCCUGGGCUAUUACACCUUGCAGUCCAGAAACACAGAGGUCAAUUUCUCUUCUCAGCUCUAGUUCCCAAAUCCCUGAAGAAGAACUUUGCUUGGCCUGGCUUGGGUCAGAACUGGGUUGAGCACCUAUCUACUGAAGACUUGACCAAGUCAGGUCACAUACCUACCGGGAACACGCGGAUGGGGCCAGGACAGCUGAACCCCGUUGUACUCACACGACCACCACCACCUCCUGGAUUCAGGAAAGAGGCUGCUCCUUCAGCAAAACAAAAGAUCUCUCCUGCACCAUCUCCCCCCUCUGCCUUCACGUAUCUUCUCCUCCUCCCAGCUUCAGAGAAAAGAUUUACUCCCAUCGAUGUCUGGAGAUGAUCAAGAUCAAUGGGCCAAUAUGGGCUAAACGAG